ensembl:lincRNA Gm29811 predicted gene, 29811
ACAGAAGUCUCCCAUGGAACGAGCACCACCAUCUUUUACCCAAGCCGGUGCCUGUAUCCCUCUAGUCAACACCACCUGGGAAUCUGUUAGAAGACCCUCAAGCUCAGCCCGGACCUAGAGUCUGACCCUGGGGCAGAGCCGCAUUUUGGCUUUCUCGACUUAUCAGCCAUCCCGACGCUUACGGCCACCCCACUAAAGCUCGAGGACCUCACUGUGGAGAUGGCCACUGUGGGUUACAAACAAGAGUGAACCCCCCGUUUUGCCUGUUUGUGGAGCAUCUUCCCCUGUCACCUUUGCAGGCCCUGAAGGUUCACCACCGUGUUGGGGUGGCUUCUGAAUCAGGAGAACCUGGGAUGUUUUGCCACCUGUGUGACUUGCAACAUUUUGCAUCUACUCUGAAAUUUUCCUAGCUGGUUUCCAUAGUGUCUUAUUGAGCCCCGACUGCAAUCCAAGGACGUAGAAACUGUUGCUUCCCACGGCAGACUGGAGAUAAAGUGCCUAGCUAAAGAACAUAUCACUAUUGAAGAGUGGAGAGCCACUUAGACCCCACAGGACAGACUCACAAAGAUCCAACAGAUGUUUCAGUGCAGACGGACUACCAGGUAGGAAGAUCAUCCCAGUGUGCUGCUUGACGUGGGAUUCCAGCAGCUCAAGGUGGAACGGAAGCUGCUGAACAGCGGUCAGCGUCUCCAGUGUAAUUUAGUCACAGGGAGCUCAGUAAGGAGUGAAGAGCAACACCCUGAACUCCAACUGACCUACAGAGAAGCGCUUGACUGCCCAGUGGUCUUUCUAAUCAUUGAGUUGAUGGAACAGCCUAUGGACCGUGAGUGUUUCUUCACCACUUCCUUGGUUCUCCUCUCCUCUAAGUACUCUGGUCUUCUUUGAGAUAAAGGGUCACUUUGGUACCCCCAGCCAACGGGCUGACUCUGGUCUGUACAAACUGUGAAGGAUCCACCAGCAGAAGAUGUCCGGGCAUACUGCUCGUCGUCAUUGCUCUCCGUGAUCACAACUACUCUCUCUACCACCAGAUAGACUGAAUAGAAUCCAACACUCAGCUACCAAUCAUGGAGAUGCCUGCACCAACCUGGAGAGCCUCCAUGAAUGCCUUUGUGCCAGACUUCACAAUAAUGUCCUCCAUGAAUGCCUUUGUGCCAGACUUCACAAUAAUUUCCAAGUUAUGAAUGAGGUCAGCCACAAUCAUGCCAAUGCCUGUGUCCACCAAUGUCAGUGUGAAGAUUCCUAAGGAUUGGGCAUGGUGUCAAUUUUCAGCUUUAACUCUGUCUAACUUGGAAGGGUCUGUGAGGCUCUCAAAGUGAAUUUUGUCUAAAGCAUCAGAAGCAUUAGAGAUCAACUCCUGAAGGAAAAUUCUGUUGUUUGAAUAGAACGUGUUGAUGAUGAGGGACAUGAGCGGAACAGUUUCUACCUGAAAGGCAAAGGUCUCCACCUCUUCCUCUCCAUGGCGCGCUUCCUCAGGCAUCCUGACAGGAAAGCUAAGUAGUAGUACAGAGCAGGGUAGACUUAGACUGCAUCGGACUUCAUGCCAAGCCUAGGCUGCACAGGGUUUACUCAGGAGCUUGUUUUCAUUUCUGGCAUGAGUAUUUCUUUGUCAAUCUUAAGUAUUAGAUAUUUUAUAAAUUAAAGAUGUCAUGUGAUUCUGUGUUUUGGAAAGUG